ACACUCAUGGACAGCUGUCCUUCACAUUCAAGCACUCUCCCUUGCACACUGUUAAGCAGCCUCACACACCCAUGAGCAGCAUUGCACACAGGGACAGUCCUGUACAGUCUCCUUUGCACGCUCACAAGCAGUCACUCACGAGCAGCCUCACACACACGGACAGCUAUCCUGCACACAGGCACUCUCCCUGGCACGGUCACAAGCAGCCUCACACACUCGUG
rnacentral:lncRNA from 1 species